rnacentral:rRNA from 1 species
UGAACGCUGGCGGCGUGCCUAACACAUGCAAGUCGAACGAGAAACUCCGGGCUUGCUCGGAGAAGUAAAGUGGCGCACGGGUGAGUAACGCGUGGGUAAUCUGCCCCUGAAUCUGGGAUAACAUCGCGAAAGCGUUGCUAAUACCGGAUAUUGUCAUAGGAGUGUUGCUCCAAUGAUGAAAGGUGACCUCUUCAUGAAAGUUGCCGUUUAGGGAGGAGCCCGCGUACCAUUAGCUUGUUGGCGGGGUAAUGGCCCACCAAGGCUACGAUGGUUAGCUGGUCUGAGAGGAUGAUCAGCCACACUGGAACUGAAACACGGUCCAGACUCCUACGGGAGGCAGCAGUGAGGAAUUUUGCGCAAUGGGGGAAACCCUGACGCAGCAACGCCGCGUGAGUGAAGAAGGCUUUCGGGUCGUAAAGCUCUGUCAAGUGGGAAAAAAGCUUGCCGAUGAAUAGUCGGUAGGUCUGAUGGUACCGCUAGAGGAAGCACCGGCUAACUCC